GCAAGAUAUGGUCCAGGAGACGUGGUAAGAAGUAAGGGUCAGGCGUUAUCCGGGGUUACUGGGGGUAAAAGGAGUGCAGGCGUGGGUGCUAUGCUGAUGUGGAAUGUCGUGGCUCAACCCCGUUACUGCAGUGGAAACUGUCGUACUAGAGUGUCGGAGGGGUAAUCGUAAUUCCUAGUGUAGCGGUGAAAUGCGUAGAUAGUAGGAUGAACACCAGUGGCGAAGGCGGCUUACUGGACGAUAACUGACGCUGAGGCUCGAAAGCGUGGGGAGCAAACAGGAUUAGAUACCCUUGUAGUC
rnacentral:rRNA from 1 species